CCUGGAGUUGAAAUGAUUAUGAAUAUUAUGUAGUGUGUAAAUGUAUUUUUGCUGCUGCUAUAUGUGGGGGAAGUGUGUUUUCUGAAUUAGUUUCUUAAAGCAGUCAAAAACUGUAUGUAAACUAAACAGUUCUUAUAUUGCUUACUUAAAUAUAAAUAGUGGAUUUCUUCACAAAGGUUGUUCAUGAUAUACUGUAUUGUUAUCAAAACUUGCAGUACUUUGUUUAUCGUUUAUUCACAUUCAUCAUUUGAACCAUAAUCAGCAAUCACAACAGAUGUAAAUUGGGGUCCUGUGACAUUUACAUAAGACAUAUAAGUGUAUACAAACUACUGUAGAACAUAACAAGAUGAAAAUAAUUCAAUUUAAAAAACAUUUUUUUUAAAAAUGUUUACUAAGAAAUGCAGCAUGUUUUUAUCAUUCUACUUGUUUUUCGAUGUUGUCAUCAUGCUUUCGUAUUCCAGACAUAUUGUCUUUAAUCUUUCUGAUGCUUUGACAUUUAUAAAAUUCAUUUUCUUGUAUAUCUCUUUCUAUAGAAAAAGAAAAAGAGAGAGAUGGAUCAACACGAAUGUCUUUAGAGUCACGUUUUCCUGAAAAGAACUGGGAAGAAGCAAUCUCUUUCUUCAAAGGAAGCUCAUGACAUGAUCCGUGCCCAAUGCUGUGCUGUGUUCAUGUUUCUACGGCCAUCUAGCAUGCUUCCAUGAAGAUGAUGUCACAGAAAUAAUGUGGUGUUGUUUUGAGAUGAAUGAUUUUUAUUUGGAGUUUAUGUAUCUAUGGAGAUAAAAUGAUAUUCCAUGGCGAUACAACAAAGUUGCUAUGGUUAUGUUAUUUUCUAUGGAGAUACAAUGAUGUUAAUAUGAAGAUAACAGUAUGGUGUUUCUAUGGAUAUACAGUAGUAUGCAGUAUUUCUAUGGAAAUAAACUGUUGUUUCAAUUCAGAUACAUUUAAUGUUCCCAUGGAUGUAAAAUGUUGAUGGGAUAUACUAUCAAUUUCCAUGAUCAAUCUAAACAAUGGUAAAAUGCUAAUAUGAUGCAAGUGAUAAAUGUGCCAAUCCUGCAAACUGCCAACCUAUUUUGCUGAAAUACUAAAAAUGUGUUGCAAUUUUAUAUUGAAUUCUUCCAACAAACAUACGUAUUGUGUAUACCUUUCUACAUUGUCCCUUUGCUAUAAUGUUUAUAAUCUUCAUUUUAGGUUUCUUUAUUUAUGGUAAAACUGUACAUUACACGCACAUAAGAAUACGGAGGUGAUUAAAGCAUGCAUGCACAUCACCAAGGAUAUGGCAUCAAACCCUCAUAAAGGUGUUAAUAUUAUAUUAUUUGUGUUCGCUUCUAUACAAACCUGUCAAAAAGUUAUAAAACUAUACCUGCAAAAAAAUGAAAAAUGUAUGAAAAAUCAAUUAAAAAAAAUUGUGAAACACCAUGAAAUAAGCCUAAUUAAACUUUAUUAUUAAGCAAAUGAAAAUAUGUCGAAAUGUGUAGAAAAAAAAUUUGCAAAAUAAGUGUCAGCGAAGAAAAUGCACAACGCUAAAAAGAAAAUGAAAGAAUGGUCCACUAAAAAAUAGGCCUAACAUUAGUUAUAGUUAGAUUUCUAUGCAGCGCUGCCCCCAAAAUGUCUCUGAAUGCUACUGUCCAGCCUGUAUUUUUUCUGAAUUGAGCUUUUAAAAAUAAGCUAAAUUUCAGAGUAGUGUAUGCCAAGGCAACCAAUGUUGGAGUAAACAUUCUCUCGCUCACAAAGCCAAACCUUCACCCUCCAUUAAUCAGGAUUGGUUAAUUAGCUGCCAAUGCCUUCAGUAUCAAAAUAUCUGGUUACCAUCUCAAAUUCUUUCAUUCCAAAACUAACAUUAAACAAUUAAGUUUUAGUGAAAGUACAUAAAUUCUUAGAGUGCUAAACUCUGGGAUUUGUGUAUGUUUAAAAGCAUUACUUUUUACCAGUUAUUACUCCCAGUACCUUACCCCCUCUAUUAUAAAUUUCAUAAGUUUAUGCUUCAUGUAAUUACAGUCCAUAGAAGCAGACUGUUCUAUACAUAAUAUACAACUUUUUUUUAUUACAUUUAUUUAUUUAUUUAUUUAUUUGAACCAUAUUUAAUGAGGGUGAACCAUUCAACAACUGCUAAUCACUUGACACCCUCAACAAUGAUAUGGUAUGCCUACCAUAUCCAAAUUAUUUACCACUGCUCAUUCCCUUCCCCUUCUCUGUCAGAUCUCCUUUCCAAGGCUCAGAUACCUAUCCCCAGCUCAUGUCUUCACCCAGCUCAGGUAUUGGUCUUAUUAUGUUCCCAUUCUCAUCAUCAUCCCACCUUCUCAAAUUAUGGGUGUGCUGCUCCAAUAAACUUAAGAUGAGAAUACAGUGUGCAAACACAUUGUGUCUGCUGCCCCCUAGUGUUUAACUAACAUAUUUUUUUUUUCAAAUGACCAAGACAUAAGACGUAUCAGCAGAUUAUUGUAGCAUUACACACAAGUGUAGUUUGUCUUUAAGAUUUAGAAAACAAAACUCGAAAAUCCUUGUUGUUUCUUAGUCUUUUGUUUUACGAAGCCAAUGUCCUCAUAAAACUCGUACAGAAAUGCAAGUACUUUCCUUUUGGAUUAAAUAAGCAAAUAUGUUGGCGAAAAUAAAAGUUUUGCUUAUGUGGUAAGCUGAAUUUUAACUAUGAAAAAGGCAAAAUAACAUUCCUUGUUAAAGGUGUAUUAGUGUUAUGCAUGUUGAUGGAGAGUAAGGCAGAGACUAUAUUUAUUUUUGAAUUGUAAAUGACUCAUGUUUAUCUGUUAAACAAACAAAAAACUUGUUUCUUUACUUGCAUUUUAUUUAAUAUAUUAACAGUUUCUAUUAUUUGUACAAAAUCCUAUUCAUAAAUAUUGACAUAUAAUAAAUGCAAUUAUAUAAAUUAUUUCUGUAUCUUUAGUUGACAUUAGAAAAUGAUAUGAAAAUAUGAAAUGUGGAAAUAGAAGUAAGGAGUAGAAUGCUUCCCCAAAUAUUGAUACUUAACACCAUACCAAAAUAAUAAGUAUUAUUUAAGUCCUUAUUUUUCAUAAUUUAUGGUUAUUUUGUUAAUUUUUGUCUGUUAAUUUUGUAUAAUUUUUUUUUGUUUUUGUUGUGCAUUGAUAUGAUAAAUAGAUUAUUCAUAUCAAAUAUUAAUAACACAACUUAAAAAACAGAUGUGCAUUAGUGUUUUUAUACUUUUACAAUUAAAUAUUAAGUAUAGGCCUAAGUCUAUUUCUGAACUCCAUAACAGAUUUUGUUCACCAACUUAAUACUUUUCUCCAUGGUUUUUUUUUUUAUGCAUUAUCAAUUUUCCUAUGCAGUAUCUAUAUUUUAUAUUGUUCUGAACUUGAUAAAGGCUUAUAGCUGAAAGACCUUUUUUAUUAAUUUGCUAAUUUAAUAUAUUUGAUAGUCAAAUAUACUAUCCUACCAUAUCUCUCUUAAUUUCGUUAAAUUAUUUUUUUUAUUAACAUUUGAUUUUCUGUCACGCCUGAUCAAUGUUUUAAUGGUCACUAAUUGGUCAUUCAGAUUGCAGAUUUAUAUUUUUUUGGUUAUGCUAGGUUUGCCUACUUUUACACAUUGAAAAUUAGCACAGGAACAACAGAUUUUAUUUUCGUUUAAAUUGACUGCCAAUUAGGCCAUAUUUGUGGAAACAAUAUUAGCUAAAAAAAAUCAGUGUUCCUAAAGGUUAUGUUGAAACUGCUUACUCCAUAUGUAUCUAUCUGUUGCAACAGUGUAUAGAUAUAUACUGUUGCAACAUAUGCAAUAUUCAUAUUAUAUAUAUAUAUAUAUAUAUAUAUAUAUAUAUAUAUAAUAUAGUUAUUACUCUUGAUAUAUAAAUAUUAUUGCGUGGAAAUGUGUUUAUGAACAAUAAUUUAUCAUCGUCCUUUAUGAUUCAUUGAUGGGUUGUGAUGCAAGCAAAUCGACAAUGUUGUUGUAAGUAAAGUUAAUAAACAGAUGUUAAAAUUAAUACCAAAUUAUGGUAGUUUUUAAUCUAAAAAAUUAGAUUUAAAGUUUGUCAUCUGGUGGUUACAUCAUCUCACGAAUACAAUAAUGCGGUUAUUAUUUUUUCAUAUGUUUCUUGUUUUAAUAUUAAACUUUAUAUUCACACCUUGGCUUUAGAUUCGAGUAGACACGAUUUCAGUAUUUUCUCGUUUUUCGUUUCCAUAAUUUCUGAUGUCAUAUUUAUUGUUUUAAUAUGUAUUUUUUUUUUUUUAGGCUUAACUAUUUCUGAUAUUAAUGCGUUAAUUUCGUAUUUUUAUACUACCGUGUUUUUCCCAGGCGCCGCUUCUGGCACGCAUUGUAAAUCUUAACUGUAAUAAAAUAUAAUUUUGUAGAUUAUCAAUAAUUAUUGUACUAAUGUAUGCUCGUAUACUCUGUAAAAUAAGUUGUAUAUUUUGGGUUUAGUUUUGGCGAGUGAAUACUUGUUUUUAUUUCUGAUUGUAAAUUCUGCUGAUAAAAAAUUAAAUAAAACCGGUUACUUUGUGGAA